rnacentral:rRNA from 1 species
GACGAACGCUGGCGGCGUGCUUAACACAUGCAAGUCGAACGGAACGGCCCUGCUUUUGUGGGGUGCUCGAGUGGCGAACGGGUGAGUAACACGUGAGUAACCUGCCCUUGACUUUGGGAUAACUUCAGGACACUGGGGCUAAUCCCGGAUAGGAGCUCCCGCUGCAUGGUGGGGGCUGGAAAGUUUCGGCGGUUGGGGAUGGACUAGCGGCUUAUCAGCUUGGUGGUGGGGUAGUGGCUUACCAAGGCUUUGACGGGUAGCCGGCCUGCGAGGGUGACAGGCCACAUUGGGACUGAGAUACGGCCCAGACUCCUACGGGAGGCAGCGGUGGAGAAUGUUGCACAAUGGGCGGAAGCCUGAUGCGGCAACGCCGCGUGCGGGAUGACGGCCUGCGGGUUGGAAACCGCUGUCGCCUGUGACGAAGCGUGAGUGACGGUAAUGGGUAAAUAAGCACCGGCUAACUACGUG